CUUCUGUCCAAGUUUGGUGGAAAUUCAGUAUAGUUUAAGAAAGUUAUUAAAAUUUCAAAAACUUUAACCACAGAGUGAAUAUUUGUGGACGCCGCCGACGACGACGACGACGCCGACGACGACGGAAUGUAGGAUCGCUUAGUCUCGCUUUUUCGACUAAAGUCGAAGGCUCGACAAAAAGAAGAUGUGGUAUGAUUGCCAAUGAG
rnacentral:lncRNA from 1 species